rnacentral:sRNA from 2 species
GGGCAGCCAUCGCCGAGUCCCCCUACGGCGCGAGCCCGGGGGAGCCGGGGACCCACGUCCCUGGGGUGAAUCGGGCGCCCCCGCAAAGGGUGUCCGUAGGAGACCUUCCUGCUCCGAACCCGUCAGCUAACCCGGUAGGCGAGAAGGAAGGAAAG